CCUGGGACUUGCAGAUACGUCCCUUCUCCCCAUAAUCACUCCCCAACACCUCCACUGCCACCUCACCUAUUCACAUGUCAUUAGCAGAAAUUAAUUUCUUCUGGGAAAAGACACACUUGAGAAAACAAAGCCUUCCCCUCUGGAAAGACAACUGAAGUCAUUAAAACAGAAGCUAAAGUUAUGACUAAUUUAAAACCAUACAUCACCAUUACACAAUUAAAACAAUGAGACUAUUAGAAGGCAAAACUUACAACCUGGUGACUGCUGCUGUAUGCAAGAAGCAAGCUCCUGCUCAAGAAGAGGGUGCAUCAACUGCAGGUCAUGUGCCAGCCUCAUACAAGUGUUUUGGAUCCCUCUGGACAGUCACCUUGAAAGGCACAGUCCCGUACAUCAGGCCAUUGACCUGUGCCCGAACUGCUGGAUGCUGCACAGGCAGAACUUUGGUGCUACACGCAGUGUAGACAGAUUCCUCAGGAGACCCUGCUCCUUCUGCAACAUCUCCCACCAUGAAGAUGCUUGAUUUUAACAGCACAGAGAGCUGUUGACCAAGCGUGUGAUUCAGCUGGAGCUUCUGCCAACAAGGAAAUCGUGAUGGCAGUCCGCUUUCUGUGGGUGGAGAGGUCACACCUGCAACCACCAAUGAAGUGGCAUGACAAGCUUUUUAUUUUCGCCUUUCUGUCUUUCAAUGUCUAUAUCCAAAACAUGAAAGUUUUGUAAACAUACUAAUCAAGGAUUCUUCUGGGGUUUUUUUCCCCUCCAAGCUGGGGAAGAAGUAUGCUUACAAAAUGCUUAAGUUCUGUGUAGACAUUUAGCAAGCAACGAAACAAAGAUCCAGAGCCAAACACUACGCAGCAAACUUGUGCAUGUAGCUCCCUGUAGACAUGAAGCAUGAUUUGCUUUUCCAAGACUUAUUUUGCCAGGUAGUCUGAAAAUUCCUGUAGGAUACAUAGCUG